AUUGAACGCUGGCGGCAUGCCUUACACAUGCAAGUCAAACGGUAACAGGUCUUCGGAUGCUGACGAGUGGCGAACGGGUGAGUAAUACAUCGGAACGUGCCUAGUAGUGGGGGAUAACUACUCGAAAGAGUGGCUAAUACCGCAUGAGAUCUACGGAUGAAAGCAGGGGAUCGCAAGACCUUGUGCUACUAGAGCGGCCGAUGGCAGAUUAGGUAGUUGGUGGGAUAAAAGCUUACCAAGCCGACGAUCUGUAGCUGGUCUGAGAGGACGAUCAGCCACACUGGGACCGAGACACGGCCCAGACUCCUACGGGAGGCAGCAGUGGGGAAUUUUGGACAAUGGGCGAAAGCCUGAUCCAGCAAUGCCGCGUGCAGGAUGAAGGCCUUCGGGUUGUAAACUGCUUUUGUACGGAACGAAAAGCCCCGGGUUAAUACCCUGGGUUCAUGACGGUACCGUAAGAAUAAGCACCGGCUAACUACGUGCCAGCCGCCGCAGUAA
rnacentral:rRNA from 1 species